GAACUGCCCCCAGAGGGCUUCCAAGGCUGUAAUCUACACGGAAGCAGACUGCCGUGUCUUUCUCCCACAGAGUGACUGGUGAAUUAGAACCACCAAGCUUUCGGUUAGCAGCCCAGCACUUAACAACUGCACACCAGGGCUUCUUAUGGCAAGCACACACUGCCGUGGAGUCAACCCCUGAAUCACGGUGAUUCCAUGCACGGUGGAAAGAACAAUACCCGGUCCUGCACCAUUCACAUUUUUCAGAAGUAGAUCUUCAGGCCUUUCUUCCUAGUCUGUCUUAGUCUGAAAGCUCACUGCAACCUGUUUGGCAUCACGGCAACACACAAGCCUCCACAGAAGGGCAGUGGCUGUGCAUGAAGUACAUUGGCUGGGAAUUGAACUCACGUCUCCUGGAUGGAAGAUGUUUUGAAUGGCUGUUCAUUGGUCUUUCGGAACAGCAGGAUGACAAAGUAGAAAGAACAGAGGACGACAAGCCAAGACAUGCAGACUGAGAUGCUGCCAUCUGUGAAGCUGGAUGGAGAGCCACCGGACGACCCUUAAAGACCCUUCUGGCUGGGGCAGCCUAGAAUUCUAAACAAAGGCCAACCAAUAUUACUGUGGCCACUCUCUUUCAAAAAUGUUCCAAUAAUCUACAAUGGCAUAAUAAAGUUUUUUAAUAAGGAUAGUUUAAAAUUGUGACACAA